CGGGACGGGUGAGUAACGCGUGGAUAACCUGCCGUAUACAGGGGGAUAACACUUAGAAAUAGGUGCUAAUACCGCAUAAGCGCACAGCUUCGCAUGAAGCAGUGUGAAAAACUCCGGUGGUAUACGAUGGAUCCGCGUCUGAUUAGCUGGUUGGCGGGGUAAAGGCCCACCAAGGCGACGAUCAGUAGCCGGCCUGAGAGGGUGAACGGCCACAUUGGGACUGAGACACGGCCCAAACUCCUACGGAAGGCAGCAG
rnacentral:rRNA from 1 species